AAGGCACGGUGACAGGAGUCAUCACCAACGUCUCUCUGCUAAAAUUCACAUACACCACUCACUCUCUCCAUAGAAAAAAGAAAAGAAAAAAGGAAAAGAGAAAAGCUGUACAGCUUUUCCUCCCCCACCUUCCUUCCUUCUUCGCCACCCACACAAAACGACAACCGCCGCUGCUCCCCUUUCCACUUCCAUCAUUGCCAACACCUCCACGUAACCGUUCUCCGUCCGCAACCCAUCUUCAUCAUUCAUCUCCACCGCAAAAACCCACACGUCGGCGGACUCAAACAACCACACAACACACGUCGCCGGCAAAAAUCCUUCUCCAACCGCCGUGACCUAAAGCCGACGAACACCACCAUCGCAACGCCCUUCUUCCGCUUCACCCUCACAAACCCUCCUUCUCCGAAUCUCCUUCGCCAACAAGGAAAAUCCGACCGCCGUACCACCACACACGCGACUCGCAUCUCCGAUCUACUUUUCCAUUUCGAUUUCAACUUCACCCUUCCACCAUCACAGUUUCACCAUUACAUACCCUUGAAACCACCUUCAAUCUAUUCAAUCUAUAUUGCUACUAGUUCGCUCACCUUCAUUUGCAUAUACCAGUUGUGGACCGGUCAUAAGCUUCAACUCGUAUCACUGCUCAUGAGAAGGAGAAAUAUCUAUUACUGUUAUGUGAACUCUAGUGCAGGUUAAAAAAAGCGGAGCGUAAGCAAGGAUUUGGCCUUUUAGAUGUUCGUAAAAAGCGGAAACCAUAAUAGCACAUGACUUAAUUCUCUACAUCAAGGAGGCGGCGCGUGUUGGAUUCAAUUGAAGUUUCGGCAUGCCCAAUAUCGCAACAGCAUUGACAUCAUUUGACAACAGAAGCGACUCAAAAAGAGGAAAAGGGCAAAGAGACAGAGCAAGAGGAAGAAGGUUGGAGAAGAGAAAAGCUUGAAGCUUAAAGAUUCGCCGGAUUAAUUCAGGUAACGAACAGUGAUUGAGUAGGAGCUAGUGCUUGGAGUCUAGUGUAGUUCCUUAGUGGGUCAUGCUCUGGUAGAUGUAACAUCGGGAUGGGAUGUUUUAAAUGUUUUAUUGUUGGUUGUGAACCAGUUUACAUGUAAUGUGUUACAUGUUUUGCAAGAUUGAUUUGAUUUCUAUCCGCUGCGUAUUGUGCAAAUGUUUUAUGUUUU